rnacentral:rRNA from 1 species
CCUACGGGUGGCAGCAGUGGGGAAUAUUGGGCAAUGGGCGCAAGCCUGACCCAGCAACGCCGCGUGAAGGAAGAAGGCUUUCGGGUUGUAAACUUCUUCUGUCAGGGAAGAGUAGAAGACGGUACCUGACGAAUAAGCCACGGCUAACUACGUGCCAGCAGCCGCGGUAAUACGUAGGUGGCAAGCGUUGUCCGGAUUUACUGGGUGUAAAGGGCGUGUAGCCGGGUUGACAAGUCAGAUGUGAAAUCCUGCGGCUUAACCGCAGAACUGCAUUUGAAACUGUUGAUCUUGAGUGCUGGAGAGGCAGAUGGAAUUCCUAGUGUAGCGGUGAAAUGCGUAGAUAUUAGGAGGAACACCAGUGGCGAAAGCGCUCUGCUGGACAGCAACUGACGGUGAGGCGCGAAAGCGUGGGGAGCAAACAGGAUUAGAUACCCUUGUAGUC